CCUACGGGAGGCAGCAGUGGGGAAUAUUGGGCAAUGGGCGCAAGCCUGACCCAGCACCGCCGCGUGAAGGAAGAAGGCUUUCGGGUUGUAAACUUCUUUUCUCAGGGACGAAGCAAGUGACGGUACCUGAGGAAUAAGCCACGGCUAACUACGUGCCAGCAGCCGCGGUAAUACGUAGGUGGCAAGCGUUAUACGGAUUUACUGGGUGUAAAGGGCGUGUAGGCGGGCCUGCAAGUCAGAUGUGAAAACCACGGGCUCAACCUGUGGCCUGCAUUUGAAACUGUAGUUUUUGAGUACUGGAGAGGCAGACGGAAUGCCUAGUGUAGCGGUGAAAUGCGUAGAUAUUAGGAGGAACACCAGUGGCGAAGGCGGUCUGCUGGACAGCAACUGACGCUGAGGCGCGAAAGCGUGGGGAGCAAACAGGAUUAGAUACCCGGUAGUC
rnacentral:rRNA from 1 species